ACCGUGUGUGAAUCCAGCCACAUUUGUUUCGGCACCAACCAUGCAAUCCUGACGUCAGGACUUGCAGAGUCUCCUAGUUAGAGGCUGACGUGAGCGAUCAGAGAGAGAGAGAGAGAGAAAGAGAGAGAGAGAGCGCUUGAACAUGGCCACUGUAACCAACGGAGUGCAGCUAGACAACAGCAACAGCGGCAGCAGUCGGAUGAACGGCUUGAACCACAGCAGUCAGAACACCAUCCCAAUGAAAGACCACGACGCCAUCAAGCUAUUCAUCGGCCAGAUCCCCCGCAAUCUGGAGGAGAAAGACCUAAAGCCGCUGUUCGAGGAAUUUGGGAAGAUCUAUGAAUUGACUGUGCUGAAGGAUCGUUUCACCGGUAUGCACAAAGGUUGUGCCUUCCUCACAUACUGUGCCAGAGAUUCGGCCCUUAAAGCUCAGAGCGCUUUGCACGAGCAGAAAACGUUACCAGGGAUGAACCGCCCGAUUCAGGUGAAGCCUGCAGACAGCGAAGGCCGAGGAGAAGAUAGAAAGCUCUUUGUGGGCAUGCUGGGAAAACAGCAAACGGAGGACGACGUCAGGAGACUAUUUGAAUCCUUUGGCUCCAUUGAAGAGUGUACCAUUCUUAGAGGCCCUGAUGGAACCAGUAAAGGCUGUGCGUUUGUAAAAUAUUCCUCUCACGCAGAAGCCCAAGCAGCCAUUAACAGCCUGCACGGAAGCCAGACUAUGCCAGGGGCAUCGUCCAGUCUCGUGGUGAAAUUCGCAGACACGGACAAGGAACGCACUCUGCGACGCAUGCACCAGAUGGCAGGGCAGCUUGGCAUCUUUAAUCCAAUGGCAAUCCAGUUUGGCGCAUAUGGAGCCUACACUCAAGCGUUGAUGCAGCAACAGGCAGCUCUAAUGGCAGCAGCGCAGGGCACCUACUUGAAUCCGAUGGCUGCGAUCGCAGCGGCUCAGAUGCAGCAGAUGGCGGCGUUCAAUGUGAACGGGCUGGUGGCAACGCCAAUGACACCGUCAUCAGAUUGUUGUUCGUUUUCUUCUAUAGGCACCAGUACCCCUCCUGGCAUCAAUGCAGCAGCUGUACCCAGCAUAGCUACGCCCAUUGGAGUCAAUGGGUUUAGUGCCAUGCCACCACAGACUAAUGGUCAACCAGCAUCUGACACUAUCUAUGCCAAUGGCAUCCACCCGUACCCAGCACAAAGUCCAACAGUGGCCGAUCCCUUACAGCAAGCUUACGCAGGCAUGCAACACUAUACAGGUUCUCCUGCUCCAUGCUCCAUUCCCCAAUUAAGAGUGCAGCCAGCGGCCUAUCCAGCAGCUUAUGCUCCCAUUAGUCAAGCGUUUCCACAGCAACCUCCCAUAAUUCCUCAGCAGCAAAGAGAAGGACCAGAGGGAUGCAAUCUGUUCAUCUACCAUCUGCCGCAGGAGUUUGGGGAUGCUGAGCUCAUGCAGAUGUUCAUGCCUUUUGGCAACGUGAUCUCUGCCAAAGUCUUUGUUGACCGUGCCACCAACCAAAGUAAAUGCUUCGGGUUUGUGAGUUUUGACAAUCCUACCAGUGCUCAGGCUGCCAUUCAGGCUAUGAACGGCUUUCAGAUUGGGAUGAAGAGGCUAAAAGUACAACUGAAACGACCAAAAGACGCUAACCGACCAUACUGACCUUCCCACCGCUCCUAAACAGGCAGGGCCUAAUCAUAGCUCCAGAUGACCACAAGUCAUUCUCAAACUCUGUGAUGUAACCUAGCAACUCUAACAGUCAUGGGGGAGACAUGUCCCGACCCGAUGGAAGCAUCACCGCAUUCAGUGAUUCUUUGUCACAAUUACAGUCUGAAAACUAUGACUCUUUUAUUUUGCUCUGUAUCACUGUGGAAGACGACAGAUUAGAUUUCAAAAGGGGGAGACACUUCAGGAGCAACUGGGGGGGAGGGGGGAGGGGGGUGGGGGGGGGAAACCAAAAAUGGAUGAAAGUUGGAUGGAAACAAAAAAAAACAAAAACACAAAAAAAAGACGACAAAAAAAAUCAUAUUCGCACUGGAACUAUGAUGAGGACGUUGUGACACACCACGACUGAAUUAAUCCACAAGUACUGAAUAACUGUUUUUCAGAGGAUUAAAUGGUAAAUACUGACUUUUAAGAAAAAAAAACCAAAGCCAGCUGGAAGAGUUUGUGUGCCUACAGCCAACACAACACAUCCUUGCUUCUGAAACUGGAAGAAUAUUACGGAAUAAAGGGACAUUUCGAAAGCUGGCACAGGGAUAUAAAAGUUCUACUACUGUAAAGUCAUAUCAUUCCUUAGAUGAUUAGGGACCAAAGGACCAAACUUUUUUUAAAUCUUAUCUUAUAGUUGUAAGUAAAAACAAAAAAGAUCAUAACAUUUCAUGGUGAUUUAGGGAAAAAUACUUGCAUACAAGAAACGGCUUCAUAGGAUUUAAGAGUCAUUUUAGAAACACUUAAGUAAUUUGGGAGGCACUCAGACAGUGGAGAGACAAUCGAUUCUGCAAAUAUAUGGGAGCGGAACAUUCAUUUUAUAUUACUGAAGAGCUGGCUCAUGAGCUAUGUCCUUAUAUACAGUAGCUGAUGAGAUAUUGAAACUAUCACCAUUAAAGCACUAGCGGUUACUUGUAACAUAUAGAAACGCUGCUGUUGCUGUUCCCAGGUAUUUAUUUCAAACUAUAAAUACUAAAUCUAUUCAUAUUAAAUCAGCCGAAUGUUGACUGACAUUUCGUUUCUCAGGCAAUGAAGUGAUUGUGUUGCUCUGGAGUUAUAUGACCUUGUUACCACUGUUGCUAGGACCAAACUUGAGGUGAUGUUCUCGCACACCAUAAAAGGUACAAGAGUGAACUUGUCUUUUACAGCACCAUCCAUUGUUAAGGUGCCCUUAGCACAUAACCGAAGGGUAACAAAAGUGGAACUGUUGGCUUCGGUGAUCGGUUUGAGGAGGGUGAAGUUUCAGCUUGUAUAAUUAAGUUAGCAAUUCUCCCUGUAUUGCUCAUUUCUUUUGCCUGCUUUAAGAUAAUAGCUAACCAGCAAUGAUGAAUGAAGUAAUUCUGUGCUUUGCAUGCAUUGCCAAUGAGUCCUGGCAUAUUGGUACAGUUCCCCAAACAUGGCUUGACAGUACAAUUCAGUCUACUCUCCAGCAUUUGGUAAGUGUCUCCCAAGAUGUACACCUCAUGAUGGGCUGUAGAUGGCUGUACACUUCUCCCUGAUUCAUAUCCAUUGCCCUGACACUCCACUUAUCAAAUUGGUGAUCAUACUGCGUAUUACAUCUUAAAUAGGACAGAUAUAUCUUUAAAUAUUUAAAAAAUCUCAAGACAAAUUGUUGAACUAGUUGAAUUAGCCGACUUCAACAUUUAUACCAUUUCUAUUAUCUUUAUUUAAUCAGGAAGGAUAAAAUUGAGGCCCCUACAAAGUUCGGGAUAAAGAGCAACUCAGAUAAUUGCUGUUCCUUUUUUGAUCUUAAGCUGAGAAAUUCUAUUCUUAUUUCUUUCAUGGGAUGUGGCUUUGCUGACCUGACCAACAUUUAUCUCUUGA